UAUGAGAACUGUAAAUACCUGCAGACAUUUUCUCUUUCCUAUUCUAAAACUUACUAAAAUUUUAGAUACAGGAAUUCUCUGUUGAAAACAAAUAUAUAUAUGUAUAGAUAGAUACACACAUGUAUAUAUAUAUGAAAUGUGAGAAAAAAUAUAUAUAUAUUCCUUUGAUGUCUUUAAUAUUUAGUUUAAAAACUUUAAGGAAAUCAUAAAACUUUUAAAUUUCAACUCUAAGAUUAUAUGGGCAGUUAAGUUUAAAUAUAGAGCAUAUAUUUCUUCAGUUAAAAGGAAGUGUGUAUUUACUGCUGUUCAAUUAGAAAAAGCAAUUAACACCUGCCUAAUGAUAAGCUACACUGUUUUUUAUUUUUAGAUUUUCAAAAUAGAGCUUGCCCAUAAGGACAUCUACCUACUGGGGAACAUAGAAUUAUUUUGAAAAGUUUGUUAAGAAUUGGCCGAUUACUUGACUUAAGGAUUUAAUUCAGCAUGAAUAAACAAAAGAAAGAAAAUGUAUAUUUGCUUGUGUUCAAGUCUGAAAUUAAGCUUUGGUCUACAGUUAAAUUAAUACAGCCCUGAGAACACCUUGUCUUAACUUCCUAAAAAUUAAUUUUGAGAAAUAGAUUUAAUAGUACCAAGGUACAUUGUUGUUAUAAUGAAGAAGGCGAGAAUGGUUUUUAUUACCUUAAUUGACGCGCUUUUAUAAAACGUCAUUUGCAUCUGGAUUCUAAAGGGAACGUGAAUUAUUUUUGCACAAUUAUGAUUUGGAGUCAUAUUGAAAUAUUAAAAAAUUUUCAUCCUUUUAUUCUUAAUUGAAUUCCAAUGCAGUAACUUCAAAACAAUGGAAAUAGCAUGAGGCCAGAAAGGGGAAAGGGAGUAGUUGACACUUUGCAUACCACCAGUAAGAUGGAAUAGGAGGGAUGCUACAAUUAUAGGAUGCUACUAAAUAUGAAAAUUUAUUCAUUAAUUCAGCAUUUAUACGCUGAACAUCUACUGUGUGUCAGCUAUCAAGUAUGUAAUGAUGAGUGAAGAAAAAAAAAAAUAAUCAACCCAAAAAGAAAUAAUACUGUCAUGUAGAUUAUAGCAUUAAGAUUAUCCAAAACUUAACAAACAUUCUACAAAUAGAUGUGAAAUUAAUUACAAGUGUUAAAGUGUUAUUAGUGCUACAAAAGAAAGGUAAUGUUUCACGAGAUCAUAGGCUAGUCAACUUAACCUUGUAGAAAGAUCAAGGAAGUCUUCCCAAGGAACUAAAUGAUACUUUCAUUAUCUUUGCUUUACCUGUGAAGAGCUGAAGUACAGUUAAAUAACUUGCUAAAGUUUUCACAACUGCUAAGUGAUAAAGACAGGACUGGGAUCCAUGCACUGGUGCCAGAGCCUACAAUAUUAACCCCUCUAAUACACUGUCCCCCACUGAAUUCCUAACUGUAACGUCAAGAGGAGUUUAUUAGGCAAGCUUCAUCAGGUUGACUAAGCAACGGUCAUCAAGGGAACAGUAAAGAUAGUUUAGGAGAGAAGAAUAAUUAGAAUUAUAAUAACUCAAAUAUGCAGCAACCUCACACAUUAGGAAAGGCAAAAUAAAAAGAAAAAGAAAUAAAUGUAUAACUAGCCUUGAAUCUAGUUUAUGGAAAUAAGUAGUUUUCAUCUAACAGUCUGCAUAGGAAACUACGUAAGCUCAAUUCACGGAAUGAAGAUAAAUGGUUAUUAAAAAUAAUCCUCAUCUAUGACAGAAUACUUGGCACCCACUCCCAAUCAUAUCAUUUAAAGCUAAAUUACUGAAAGCAUGUCAUUUGUCUUUGAAUUUCAGUUUUAUUAAUUGUAUAAUGGCAAUUGAAUUACCUUUCCUGGAAUUAACGGUAGACAGUCUUUUCCCCACAUUAUUCUGAAAUUGAUUUUGCUUUGAAGAUAACAUGUACACUUACAUUGUGUUUCUGUUUCAUGGAAAUCUAUUGUUAAUGCUAAAUAUUUUAAAAUAAUGUUUUCAUUCAUUAAUUCAACAAAUACUUAUAAAAUUCUAUUGAAGAUACGGGACAAAAUUAAGAGAGGCAUAAUUUUGGAGCUUAUAUUCUGUAGGAGGAGAAAGAAAAUUAACAAGUAGACCAAGCCAAGUAUAAAUACAAUUUAUGUUUAUAAUUGAAUAUGGAACAUGCAGAAACCAUUCUCAAAUGGAUAACUCCAGUCUGGGUGGAAAUCAAACAUUUCUUGCCCCAAUGUACCAAUGAGAGUGUACCAUAAUAAUGUGUAAAUAUUCCUAAUAAAAUAUGAAUAAUAGUGUAAGUAAUAUUUGCUUCAGUCCUUCAAUUUCUUAAUCGAAUACACUAAAGAAUAAUUGUGGAUCUUUAAUUUCUACAUUUUACAUUUACUUUGCUGAAUAAUUAUAUUUAUAAUAUUACCAAUAUUUAAUAACCUACUCUACUGUAGUGGGGCUUCUACAGUAGGAAAGCUAAGAUUGUAAAUCCUAUUAUAAAGUUUUGUUUUUCCCUUAAGCAAAACAACUCCUAUAUUUUUUGUGUAAACUCAUUUUUCUACAAUAAUUGGAUGUUUUAAAGAGACACAGUUAUUCUUCUGGUAUUUUCUAUUUUAUUUUUUCACUGCAAAUUCAUCACCUCAUUCUGUUGACCGAAUCAAAUUUAUUAAUAAUGUAUCACCUGGGCUCUCAGUAAUUUUUAACAUGUCAAUAUUUUCCAGUAUUUCUAGUAAGUAUGCUUUACCAGAAGUAUACAUAUUUUACAGUUUUUCUUUGCUUCUUAAAUUUUCCUUUAUUUAUUUUCAGAAGUCUUUUUCUUUUCACUGAAAAAGUCAACCAUGGUUUAUGGGUCAGAUUAAAUUUUUACUUAAAGGAGGUCUUUCCUAGUUACCUAAUUUAAAUUGAAAUCCACCCAGAUUGUUCUGUUUUAUUGUAUCCUAAUGUUUUCCUUCGUCUAUCACAUUUCAAAAGUAUUGCUUAUGUAAGUCAAUGUUUUAGCAUACACUUUUCCUACCACUUGGAGUCUCAUGGUCCCAGUGACUACGUGGGUUUUGUUCACUGAUACAUGCCCAGUUUUUAGCACAGUGCCUUGUACAGAGUAUGAAAUAUUUUUCCUGUAAAGAAAUGAGUGUUGGAUGUUACAGUUUGUGAUAAUAAGGAAAAUCCUACCCUUCAUUUGUUACUUUCUCUUGCAUAAGAAAUACUUCACAAUUAUUUACCUUAAUUCUUAUCUCAAUUCUAAUAUGCAUGCUGGUUUGUGCCAUUGCUAAGCUCUUUUAAUUGCAAAAGACAAGAAUAUUUGUUUUUAACAGAGUAAUUUGUUAUGAUUCCAUAUCCUCCAACAGUGUCAUGGUACAAACAUAAAAUAUAAUAGAGAAAAAUGACCAACUUUUAUCUUCUUAUUCUAGUUUGUAUCUCCUUGUGAAUUAAUUUUAGAACUCAAAACUUAGAUAAAAGUAUCUAUGGAGAUUUCUUUCUUUUCAUUUUACUUUACCUAAUUUUAUUGGCUUGAAAGACCUCAUUGUGCUUAAUUAAUAUCAGUGAUCAAAUCUAUUAUGUUCACUUUCACUAUGUAGGUCUUUAAGGGGUACCAACCGCUCAAAUAGUCAAAAACUCCAUGUAUAACUUUUGACUACCCCAGAGAGUUAACUACUAAUAGCCUAUUAUUGACUGUAAGCCUUACCAAUAACAUAAACAGUCAAUUAACACAUAUUUUCUAUGUGAUAUGUGUUAGAUACAGUAUUCUUACAAUAAAAUAAACUAGAGAAAGGAACAUAUUAUUAUGAAAAUCAUAUGAGAGAGAAAAUAUGUUUACUAUUCAUUAAGUGGAAGUGAGUCAUUACAAAAGUCUUCAUUUUUGUCAUCAUGUUGAGUUGGCUGAGGAGGAGAGGAAGAGGAAGGAUUGGUUUUGCUGUCCCAGGGGUGGCAGAGGGGGAAGGAAAUCUGCAUAUGAAUGCAUUCAUGCCAUUCAAACCUAUGUUGUUCAAGAGACCACUGUAAAUUAAAAAGGCAUCAGAUUUUU
rnacentral:lncRNA from 1 species